GCCCGGAUGGUCUAGUGGUAUGAUUCGCGCUUAGGGCUCACCCAAAGCAUCGCAUGACUGCGCGAGGUCCCCGGUUCGAUCCCGGGUUCGGGCC
rnacentral:tRNA from 1 species